GACGAACCGUGCGAACGUUGUUCGGAAUCACUGGGCUUAAAGGGCGCGUAGGCGGGCUGUCAAGUCUGGGGUGAAAUGCCGCGGCUCAACCGUGGAACUGCCUUAGAUACUGACGGCCUCGAGGAAGGUAGGGGCAUGCGGAACUGUAGGUGGAGCGGUGAAAUGCGUUGAUAUCUACAGGAACUCCGGUGGCGAAAGCGGCGUGCUGGACCCGUCCUGACGCUGAGGCGCGAAAGCCAGGGGAGCGAACGGG
rnacentral:rRNA from 1 species